UGUCAAGCCAGAGUUUCAGAGUGGCCACCCUGCCACCAUCAUAUCCCUUGAAACACAUUGACAGCCAACAAUUUAAAAGACCCCAGGCCCUGAGAAGGAGGAACAUCCAAUAGAUCUCAUUGCAAUCAUCUGUCACCUGCAACCGUCUCUUCCUUAUGACUGUAAACAAACACAUGGCUGCUGACAGUAUCGGUGGCCACGUCCUUUGUGCCUUCCCUGAGCAGAAACUCUGCACCAUCUGUGGCUGGAUUGUGCGUGCAGGUCGAAGAUACAGCCUGGCCACCUGAGAUGAAACCCUGGUUUGUUUGCCCUCUCAAAUAAACAGAGUUCCUGUUGUAAAAAGCUAUAAAGAAAUUCAGCAUUGACAUCAUGAGUGAUGGGCCCUGGAUGACGGAUGUCGAGCCGGAUCUCUUGCCACCACCGUGUGAUACUACUGUCCACUGAGUUAAGGUUCAUAAAUCAACAGAAACUCUACACUGUGUGAACCAGCGACCACACAGGUUAAUGGUGAGCCGCAGAGCAAAGAGUCUGGGACG